AGGACGAACGCUGGCGGCGUGCUUAACACAUGCAAGUCGAGCGGAAAGGCCCUUCGGGUACUCGAGCGGCGAACGGGUGAGUAACACGUGAGUAACCUGCCCCUAGCUCUGGGAUAGCUCCGGGAAACCGGGAUUAAUACCAGAUACGUACCACUUUAGACAUCUGUCGUGGUGGAAAGGAUUCCGGCUAGGGAUGGGCUCGCGGCCUAUCGAGCUUGUUGGUGGGGUAACGGCCUACCAAGGCGACGACGGGUA
rnacentral:rRNA from 1 species